rnacentral:rRNA from 1 species
GACGAACGCUGGCGGCGUGCUUAACACAUGCAAGUCGAACGGAAAGGCCCUGCUUUUGUGGGGUGCUCGAGUGGCGAACGGGUGAGUAACACGUGAGUAACCUGCCCUUGACUUUGGGAUAACUUCAGGAAACUGGGGCUAAUACCGGAUAGGAGCUCCUGCUGCAUGGUGGGGGUUGGAAAGUUUCGGCGGUUGGGGAUGGACUCGCGGCUUAUCAGCUUGUUGGUGGGGGAGUGGCUUACCAAGGCUUUGACGGGUAGCCGGCCUGAGAGGGUGACCGGCGACAUUGGGACUGAGAUACGGCCCAGACUCCUACGGGAGGCAGCAGUGGGGAAUAUUGCACAAUAGGCGGAAGCCUGAUGCAGCAACGCGGCGUGCGGGAUGACGGCCUUCGGGUUGUAAACCGCUUUCGCCUGUGACGAAGCGUGAGUGACGGUAAUGGGUAAAGAAGCACCGGCUAACUACGUG